rnacentral:misc_RNA from 1 species
CCGGAAACUGGUAAUGGAGAAGGCCUAGAAGAUGGUCUGCUCGCCAAGCUCCUGCCCCGCCAUCCCUUCCCUUAUCACUCUUUGGAAGAACUGCUCGAGCGUGUCCUUGCCGUAGCUGGGCGUCUUCUCGUCGCUGUACUCCCCGGUCUCCGGGUCCAGCAACAGCAUGCUCUCCGAGGCAUAGUACCUGCCAAUCUUGCCGAACUCGGCGGCGUCCUCCAACCCCGGGAACAGCUUGGCCAAUCCAUCGAGCACCCAGAUAACGGCGUCCAUGAUCUGUAUGGGCACCUUGAUGAACUUGGGCUCGCGCCCGAGCAGCCGAAACAGCAUCUCCCCCUGCUCCAGCGGCGUGAGCGCCUUCCCCGGCCCGCCAAUGGGCAGCACCUUGUUGGCCUUGUCCUGGUCGUAUAUGCAGUCGGCGAUGAAGGCGGCGAGGUCCUCCUCGCUGAUGGGCUUGCAAGCGCAGAGCUUGCCGUCGCCGAACAUGACGUACGGUUGGCCGUUCUUGACGAUGUCGACCUGGCCGCCGAGGCUCUUGAAGAACGCCGUGGGGCGCACGACGCUGUAGGUGAAGGAGGGGUCCCGCGCGGCCUCCGCGGCCAGCUCCUCCUCGAACUUGAGCUUGGCGCGUUGGAACUCGAGGAGCGGCUUCUGGACGCAGAUGGCGGAGAGAAGCACGAAGUGGGCGGCCCCGAGCCCGCGCGCGGCCUGGAGCGUGUGCAGCGUGGCGCGGUAGUCGACGCGCCACGAGUCCUGCACGCCGCCGCCGCGGCUGGCAAGGCAGCAGACCGCGGCGUGGACGGGCCCGUGCGGGGCGAGGUCCGCGAGCAGCGCGGCCGGGUCGGUGACGUCGGAGAAGACGACCUGGGCGGGGGCGAGGUCCGCGACGACAUCAUCGGGGGAGUUGCGGCCGCGGAUGCCGCUCCGGGACCGCGCCACGGCGAGCACGCGGUGGCCCCGGCGGAGGAGCUCCCGGACGACGUAGCGGCCGAUGUAGCCCGUGGCGCCCGUGACGAGGACCGUGGUCUCCGAGGCCGGCAGCGCGCGGUAGGGCUGCGCCGCCGAAGCCGGCGCGGGCGGUGAGACCGCGGAGGAGGCGAGGAGCGGGCCCCGGCCGCGGCGUCGGAUGGCGGUCCCGGGGAAGGAGAGGAACCGCGGAGCGGGGCGGGUGGGCGACGGCGUGGCUGUACCGGUGGUUGGGAGGCGGGAGGAUAGGAGGAUGGUCGCCAUGGUAGUGGCGGCGGGGGUGUUGGACGGAAUGCGGGAGGCGGAACGGCGAGCGACGUGGACGGGAAGGAGGGAGAUUGAGGGAGUGUCAGAGUGCGAGGAGCUGGACAGCGUUUGUGGCGGUGGCGAGGUCGGGGGGAAUCCGGUG